AUUGAACGCUGGCGGCAUGCCUUACACAUGCAAGUCGAACGGCAGCACGGGGCAACCUGGUGGCGAGUGGCGAACGGGUGAGUAAUGCAUCGGAACGUACCCUUCAGUGGGGGAUAACGUAGCGAAAGUUACGCUAAUACCGCAUAUUCUGUGAGCAGGAAAGCAGGGGAUCGCAAGACCUUGCGCUGAUUGAGCGGCCGAUGUCAGAUUAGCUAGUUGGUGAGGUAAAGGCUCACCAAGGCGACGAUCUGUAGCGGGUCUGAGAGGAUGAUCCGCCACACUGGAACUGAGACACGGUCCAGACUCCUACGGGAGGCAGCAGUGGGGAAUUUUGGACAAUGGGGGCAACCCUGAUCCAGCCAUGCCGCGUGAGUGAAGAAGGCCUUCGGGUUGUAAAGCUCUUUCGGCCGGGAAGAAAUCGCACGGGCUAAUACCCUGUGUGGAUGACGGUACCGGAAUAAGAAGCACCGGCUAACUACGUGCCAGCAGCCGCUGUAAUAC
rnacentral:rRNA from 1 species